AGAUAUUGGUCCGGUUCAAUA
rnacentral:miRNA from 1 species